UACGGGGGGGGGCAAGCGUUGUUCGGAAUUACUGGGCGUAAAGGGCUCGUAGGCGGCCAACUAAGUCAGACGUGAAAUCCCUCGGCUUAACCGGGGAACUGCGUCUGAUACUGGAUGGCUUGAAUUCGGGGAGGAGGGAGUGCGGAAUUCCAGGUGUAGCGGUGAAAUGCGUAGAUAUCUGGAGGAACACCGGUGGCGAAGGCGGCAUCCUGGACCGACAUUGACGCUGAGGAGCGAAAGCCAGGGGAGCAAAGCGGG
rnacentral:rRNA from 1 species